CGUGUACUCCUCUCUUCUUCAUGGUGAUCGUUGUGUCUAUGAGACAGUCAGAAGAUGGGAAAACACUGAAAAUGGUAAAGUUUACACUUUCAUUAAUAUAGAGCUUGUGGAAGCUGGAUGAUUAUACAAUAACUGUGUUUAACAUGAAAGUCAAUCAGAUUAUUAUUUCAGGUCCAGCAGAAGGUGAUUACACCAAUGUCACAUCUGUGAUUCAGCUCAAAGUCAUUAACAAGACAAGGCAACGUGGUGACCCAGAGGACAGCUCUGACUACAAUGAUGUCAAUCCAAAUUCAGACACAGCUCUAAAAUCUCAACAGCAGCUCUUUAGCUGUUUUUCUCUUUAAAAUCUCUUAAAAACUUGAAGUCACUUUGAGUGAAAAGGAGACAAUUUUGAAUUCAAAGCAAUGAUCCUGAUAGUCUGAGUUUAUAUUUGCUUCAGAAAGAAUCACUAAGUGUGUUUCACUUUUUUCUCUCCCAUUAGAUAAUAAUUUU